rnacentral:rRNA from 1 species
CAAGUCGAGCGCCCCGCAAGGGGAGCGGCGGACGGGUGAGUAACACGUAAAGAAUCUGCCCUGAAGCGGGGAAUAACUAUCCCAACGGAUAGCUAAUACCGCAUAAUGAUGGAGGUGGCAUCACCUCUUCUCAAAAGGCUUCGGCCACUUCAGGAUGACUUUGCGUCCCAUUAGCUUGUUGGCGGUGUAACGGACCACCAAGGCGACGAUGGGUAUCCGGCCUGAGAGGGUGUACGGACACAUUGGGACUGAGAUACGGCCCAGACUCCUACGGGAGGCAGCAGUAGGGAAUUUUGCGCAAUGGGGGAAACCCUGACGCAGCAACGCCAUGUGUGGGAUGAAGCAUUUCGGUGUGUAAACCACUGUCAGCAGGGAAUAAAAGGCCUUAUAGGCAUUUGAAUGUACCUGCGAAGGAAGCCCCGGCUAACUUCGUGCCAGCAGCCGCGGUAAUACGAGGGGGGCAAAUGUUGUUCGGAAUCACUGGGCGUAAAGGGAGCGUAGGCGGGUUCUUAAGUAAGGUGUUUAAUCCCGGGGCCCAACCCCGGACCGGCACUUUAAACUGGGAAUCUUGAAUAGUGGAGAGGUCAGUGGAAUUGGGGGUGUAGCGGUGGAAUGCGUAGAGAUCCCCAAGAACACCAGUUGCGAAGGCGGCUGACUGGACACAUAUUGACGCUGAGGCUCGAAAGCAUGGGGAGCAAACAGGAUUAGAUACCCUGGUAGUCCAUGCCAUAAACGAUGAAUACUAGGUUUUUGGGCCCGUCAACGGUCCAGAGCCGCAGCUAACGCGUUAAGUAUUCCGCCUGGGGA